rnacentral:misc_RNA from 1 species
CGCCGCGACAGCUUGGCAGG